rnacentral:tRNA from 1 species
GGGGGUGCAGCUCAGGAGUAGAGCAUUUGAUUGCAGAUCAACAGGUCCUCCGGUUCAAUUCCGGGUGCCCCCU